GAGCCUCUUGCAUUGCCCACAAAGGAAGCAGAGAUUGAGGGGAGAAGAACUGGAGAAAUUAAAAAAGUGGAAAGAGACAGCAACACAAAUAAAGAGGUGGGUAAUAAUAUUGUACAUCUAAAAGCCUGGGGAGUGUGUCAUAAACAAAUGGGCUGCAAUGGUCAGUAGGCAAUUAUAUCCUGUUGCCUCAUUUAAAAUGCUGACUAAUUACAUAGAGCAAGAGGAAAUUAGCACAGGAACCUUAUUCUUUGCCAAGUCCACAUCAAAAUGCUGUAAAUGAAAAACAUGAAAUCAAUCUUCCAUGGCUUUAAAGAACUCAUAGUUCUUGAAGUUUAAACAUCUGCACAAAGUCCUCCAAAGUAUAAGACAACUUAAUGGAUAUUCAAAUCUCAGAAAUUAGACUUGUAAAAAAGCUCUCAGAACCCCUAAGGCUCUCACCUUUUUGUGAUCUGAACAGUCAGUUUAACAUUUUUUUUCUUUAAUCUGAUAUUAUUGUUUAAAUCCCUAAGUCUCAUUCUAUUUGCUUUAUGUCAGAUAAUAAUUUGCUUAUGUGGAUAAGUAUCUUCUUGGAAAGAAUUGUCUCCUGAAAUUUCUCUUGGGAUUAUGUUUGGCAUGUUCCAGGAUUCAACUGAGUUCUUGAAGUUCCCAUUCAAAGAGGUGCUGGGAAAUAGCAGAGCUGCAUUUUGUUUUUUAAACAACUUUUUCUGAAUAUAGAAUUUUUGAAAAUUGAAUCACUUUCUUCUAUUGAUAUAUAGCUUAAAGAUUUGUCACCACUAAAAAGAAAAUCAGUUCCCAAAAUAACUUAAAGACGUGUAAAUAGGCAUACAACUAAAAAAUCUUUAGUAAAUGUACCAAACCUUUGUUAAAAUACUCUAAAAUAUGUGUAAGCAUGAAAUAGUGGAGACAGUCAGGAAGCCAAACCUACAGUGUGAUCUUUAGCAGUGAGGUGGCCUGGGAA
rnacentral:lncRNA from 1 species